CUUAUCCUACUUUCAUUAAUUUCACUUUCUCUUCCUUGUUUUUUUUCUUUUUUACUUCCUGCUCCUUUCUGGUUUGAUUGGUGACAAUGACGAUCUCCUACGACGAUUCAUGUUAGCCGACCCUAAAUCAUUUUGGGACUAAGGCUUUGUUGUUGUUGUUGUUGUUGUUGUAUACUUUUCCUAGAGAAUAGCACCGUUUCAAUGUGUAUGGAGAAGAUUUUCAAGCUUGCAUUGCCUCUGGCCUACUCUUAAUCAAAAGGGUCGUUAUGAUGAUUGGACGUAACAUUACCUGCUUACCGUAUGUGUUGUUGAUUAUUUUGCUUGCAUUUCAUUACUAGGUUAGGAAUUAUGAAUUAUAUCAAUGCAUUCAGUGUUCUUCUAUCUUGAACCAUACAAAGACCUUUUUCUUGUAUACCAAUUCUCUUGCAUAUUUAUGCUUAGGUAAAUAUCUUAUUUUGAUCCAUGAGGUAGUAAUCUAUUUGUACAGCUCUAUGCCAGUCUAACUCUAUUCCUUAUGAACUGUCAGUGUGGUAUUGUACCUCUAAAUGUUCAGACAGUUGAAAGGAAUUUAAUCCUUUUUACUUCACCUUAAGAAUAUCAUUGCUCGUCUUCUCAUACUAGAAGUGAGUGUGUAAAUGCAUUCGUUAGCCUUUUCUACUUAUCCUAUUUUUGUUUUUUGAAUGUAUUUCUUUGCACCUUUUUUGAAAUAUUUCGUAAGGCUUCUGCACUGAAUGUAGUAGCAUGUACACUUGCCAGGUUUCCACUUUGCUUCAGUUUAAGAUGGGGUUUUUCGUUUGUUAUGAUACAUGGUAUUGUUGACAUGUUUUUUCGUAAGGCUUCAUAUCUUUUUUUUUUUUUUUUGAGGAUUUGAGGGUUUAUUUUCCGGUUUUUGUAGCACUUUGACUUAUUGCCCCCCCAGGAAAGUUCAGGUGGAAUAACAAUUCGUGGACUAUGGACCGUGGUGCACAUAGAGCUACGUGCACCAAAAGAACAUGUGUGCAUAAGUAAAAGAACACGACAUUACGGCAAAAGAACAUGCGAUAUAAUAUUUCACUUUUUUAUUAUAAAAAUAAUUUAUUAUUUUACUAUUUAUUAAAACCUAAAUAAAAAAAAUACUCAUGUUCUUUUCUCGUAACCAGAUGUUCUUUCAAUUAUAUACUGUGUUCUUUUGGUGCACGUAGCUCUAUGUGCACCAUGGUCCACCUUCUAAAUUGCGGUGGAAUAAGUCCAGAAUCCCGGUCAUCAGUAUUUUGCAUGUCAAGGGGAGCUAGUCCUAGACUUCUACCACCUCAUCCUGAAACUACAACCUUAACAAUUGAGUCCACAUGCCUUGGUAUCAGGACCCUUUGUUUUUAUUACAAAUGGGUCAAUCCUCACCCAGAGUAAGGAGAAGAUAGAGGCCAAUAGAACUGACCAAAUAAUAACAAUGGUCGGCGUCCUGUUCUGCCGCCCCAUGAGACCUUUAAGGAAUGGAUAAAGAUGGACAAUGACCCAAAAGGAAAAGAAAAGCUUUCCAAAGAGAGGUCCCCAUGAAUCGGUUCCGUUAUUUAUGGCAUCAGAGAUUCCAGCAACCACACCUACUAAGUUAAUGACUAAGAUUGUAGUUGGAGGAAUCAGAAGGGUUGUCCACUUAAAGGUAUAUAGCUCAGAAAACUCAUCCUCGUCAUCGACUGUCUUAGAUGUGACGGUAAAGUUAGUGUCAAUGCCGGCAAAAAUCUUGAGAAGCCCCUGUAUGACUGCAAAGAGAUGUGCUGACACUCCACCGAUGACCCAAAAUUGCUCAUUUCUCCACCAUUCUUCUAUGCUAACUCCACUCCAUUUGAGCUCAAGGAUACCAGUGGCGAAGAUUGACAGAAAGAGUCCAAGGUAGAAAAGACUUGCAAAGGUGCUUAUCUGCAUCACCCACAAUUGCUUAAUAGAAUUAGUUGAACUGAACUAGCAGCUUCUUCUGGAUUUUUUUGUAGUUUAAAAGCAUUAAUUUGGACUACAUGUGAAGUUGCAUGCAGAAAAAUAUUGGAAAACCUUUUUUGGCUGUGAUGUUCUAGUACUUCUAUUGAACUUCUAGUAAAGGGAGAAAUUGGCAUUACCGUUGGCAUGAUGAACUUUCCAGUCAGCAGGCAGACGGCUGGGAGUAUACAAUAGGCAAGCAGCGGUAAGGAGGUAAAUGGGUAGACAGUAGUGUUGAUGUAUGCAAAACGCUCGAGAAACUUCAAUUUGCCUCCUUUGUGCCCGUACAGUAAAGGGCUGUGCCGACUAAAGAAGAUCUCGACAGAACCAAGGGCCCAACGAAGCACCUGGUUAAGCCGAUCAGAGAGGUUGAUAGGAGCAGUCCCUUUAAAUGCAGGUCUCUUUGGCAUGCAAUAUAUAGACCUCCAACCACGGCAGUGCAUCUUGAAUCCUGUUAGGAUAUCCUCGGUAAUUGAUCCAUAAAUCCAUCCCAACUGCACAUUCAAAAAGGAAGAAUUUAAAAACUGUGAAGUUUUUACUGAUUGCUGUUGUUUGCAGGACAAUAGUAUGGUGUAUUGUGUGUUUAUCAUAGGUUUCUGAUGUUUAGAUUACCUCGAUACCCCAUUCUGUUUUAUCUUCAUAACCACAGCUAAUGACAUGUAUGGCUUCCUUCAGCAGUGCUGCUGGACUUGAUGAGGGAGGAACACCUCCAUCAAGCAUCAGUGUUGAAGUCACAAAAAUUGCUGACUGUCCAAAUUUCUUUUCAAAAUUCAUCUGGGACAUCAAGAGCUGUUGAUCAUCCUCGUAACCUACAGUACAUGGUAAACAUUUGUUAGAUCUGUUGAAAGUUAAAUAGGGGAUCAAAGCGUUUGUUAGGUAGUGGCUACUGAGAGUGUGUACUAAACCUUGAAGGUCUACGUUAGCAUCUCCUUGUGCACUAAGUUUAGACUUUUGGUUCUUCUUGCGGCGACCAAAACAUGGGCAGCAAUCACAGCUUACCAUCUUUGGCCGUUUUGCACGCUUAGGUGGUUCAUAGCCAUACAAGGCUUGCCUUUUGAAGACACAUCCUGUGCCCACAUAGACAGGACCUUGAAUUCCAUCAAGCCCUUUCAUGUUAAUCUGAAAAGAAAAAAAACACCAGCCAUAAGAAUACAAUUUCAAUGAACUUUCUCUGGUGCUGAAAAUUUCAGGCUCUGACAAGGAGCUUACAUCGAAAAACACUGUAUUUCUGUUGGCAUAUCGAUCAUUCUUGUCUAUGCCAUCAAAUCUUUGAGGAAAUUGGACAAAGCAAACUUUCUUUCCAAUUUGUGGAUCCAUCAGGAAACACAUUGAUUCCCUGACUGCCUUGCUGUUGUUUAAGUAAUGGUCACAGUCCAAAUUUAACAUGAAGGGUGCAUUCGUCAGAACUGCAGAGACGCGCACCUGCAAUUUUGAAGGGCAUUCAUUGCACCAGCUUUCUUGUGAUGCUGGAAGCCGGGCCUCUUCUCACGAGAGACAUAAACCAAACGUGGAAGUUCAUUUCCUUCAGUGUCAUAUCCUCCACUGUGGCCGAGAAAUACUUGAAUCAUACCAGGGUGAUCCUUUGUAUUAUUUCCAGGCCAGGGUGUUCCAUCCUGCAUGAUCCAACCUUCUGGGGGAGCUUUUGAGGCUUUUGCCACCAUUGCAUUUAUCCGAACCUUGAAUUCUUCAUAUGCUCUCUGUCAAGUAAGGAAACAAUCAAAACAUUCAUCUUAGAAGUCAUACAGUAAGGAACACUUGUCUGUAACCUAAGGUUUUGUAUUAGCACCUUCAUUGAACGGCGCUCCUUCACGAAUGUUGGUUGGACCUUGUCCUUAAGAUAAUCAAUUUUCUGGGAAAAAUAAAACUCUGGGGCUCUUGGUUCUAUUGAAAAUUUCUUGCAGAAAGGAACCCAUUGUCUAGCAAAUUCUGCAGUUUCUGAAAGUGCUUCAAAGCAGAGCAUCGAAGCUCCAUCAUCAGAAAUGUAGCAUGAGAUCUUCUCAACUGGGUAAUCCAUUGCUAGUAUGGAUAGAACUGUGUUGGCUGUUGAUAGAGGAGGCUCUUUCAUCGGAUCUACUGUACUGACAAACACAUCAAUGGGUGCCAGCAUAUUCGGUUCUCCUUCUUUCUCAUAUCUGCAUGACAUUGUUGUGAGUCAGACAUUUUUCUAUAUUGCCUACUUCAUUAGUUCCAUAAUAUUUUUUGGGUUUUCCCCUCUUGGUUUAGUUAUGGACUCUUUGAACUUCUAAUCAUGCAUCUAUGCAUUAUCAUGUAUUCGUGUCUGUGAAUUUGAAAUUUUAUCUGGUGCUAUUGGCAUGGUGCUUACCUGAGAGAGAGGCGAUCCAGGUAUGUUUCUCGAUCAAUGGGGAACCAUUUAGGGAACUGAUCAAGGAUCCACGAGAUGGCAAACCAUAUCUCACAGAUCACAGAUGUCAGCCAUAGCCCAAUGGCAUCAUGGACAGGGUUCAGGAUACGAUACCGGAUGAACACAGCCAGAACAAAAAGCCUAAGAACAAUCAACAUGCGAUAGGGAUUGAUCUUGCUGGAUGCAAUGGGUACUUUCCGGGAGAGUGGUUGCCUUGCUUCAUCAACCCUACAUAAGUUUUCACACAUCAGUGAAACAAAAGUUACUACUCAAGAACUACUACAUUGUACUAUUUUGCAGUAAAUUCUGGUGAGCGGGAGAAAGGAAGAAAAGACGGAAAACAGUUUUUUUUACAUGGCAUUUUCUAGGUCAGUAUAAUCAUCGUGAUCAGGCCCCAGAUUCCCCUGCUGCAGUUUCCAUUCAUUCCAUCCUCCAUCUUUUCUGUCCUCCCAUCUCGCGCUUCCUGUAUCCAGUUACAGUUUAACACAAAUACAUGGAUAUGGAUGCACACGCUUAUGCAGCGAAGGCGUCUGAUCUGCACCAUGGGCAGAGAUAGGAAACUCUCCACUAACCUGCAUAUACACAUUGACAUUAGAUCAGAUCAGAUCAUUGCUGAUAACACAAAAGAAACUUGCAUAAAAGGUUGUAAUAUUGAACUCACAUGUCGAGAACGAAGACCAGCUAUAACAGGUGGGAAAUGAGCAUUUUCUUCAUCAUCGUGGCCUCGUCCAUAGCUCAUUUUCCCUUGAAGCAAUGCCUCUGCAACCUGGUUAUUUUUGUUAUGCUCAUCAUCUAUGUUGAACUCGUGUUCAAUAUCAUCAAUGUCCUCCUCAUCGUCAUCUCCCUCCACCCUUGGACUCCCUAUAUACACAAUUCUGAAUUUCAGUUAUCUGAGUGAGUACCUUUGAGUCUCUUGUAUCUGGUCUUGCACUGAGGACAGUUUUGGCUGCCUUCCCUUCUUUCAUACUCGUAGCAAGGACGACACACCGGGAAACCACACUCGUUG